CCAAUCAUCAACUGCGCUCCAGCCGAAGGGGGGGUGUUUGCGGGAAACGCGGUUUCCAGAGUUCCUUUCCUAGUCUUGGCCCAGCGUUAGAAUCUUCUGUUUAGUUCUUUGCGGAGCAUUUUCUCUUAACAAGCCUGAGGGAUAAGUCAGUUUUCUGAAAACUAUAACACUCAUACAGAACUUCUUCAAUGAUAAAUGAGAUACCCAAACACCAAAGAUACUGAUGUUAGAAAGCAGUUCAUGAAAAUAAAUUGGAAUUGCAUGGAAUAAACUGCAUGGAACCCAUUCCAAAAGUUAAAACUCAACAACUGAGAAUUUAUUUUGUUUCCUGUGACCAAAGAAGAUGAGAAGCAAAUGAUCCAUCUUUAAAGGGCUGUAACAUUUGAAGUGAGCAGCUGGGACUAUAUCCUCCUUGCACUUUGUUCAUACAUAAGGAGAAAUGAAAAUUCUGAAAAGACAUCUGUAUUGUAAAUCAAAAUACAUUGCUGAAAUCAAUGUUGAGUUGACAUUCUGCUUGCAAAUAUUCUUUUGAGAUUGGUUCUUGUAAAUCUCUUUCCCAUCUGGUUUUUAUGUCUGCUCUGGGACUUGUAUGCACAGAGUUGUCUAGGAUCUGCUCAGAAUGUUGAUAUAAAGUAUGUGGUUUUUAAUAAAAGGUUAGCUGGGAGGGGAAGACACUGUCUUGGUCACAUCUAAAUUGCUUAUAUAUCUUGUAGCUCAGUUAAAGUUUUAGAAACUUUGGGAAGUGUUUUCUUGCAACAAGAAAACUUAUUUGAAGCCAUGAAAUAAUUGUAUCCUUCAACUUAUAUUUUUGUAGAGAACAUUUGCUGGAAGGAUAAUUUUUAUUUUUAAACACAGGAAGAGUGAGUAGCAGAGAAGAGUUUGUGAUUGCAAUUUCCUCUCUUGCCAUAAUUGCACUAUUUCCAUUAAAUUAAUGAUGGAGAGAAACAAUUGUUUAUAUAUAAAGUUUUUUUUCCUUAUUGAAAGUUAGUUAAUUUGGGAAUGUUGAUCUCUUCUAAAUGGCAAAUUUAACGAUGACAAAGAAAAAAAUUCAAUCUGAGAUGUCAUGAUAAAUAAGCCCAUGAUUAUAACUUAACAUCUGGAAUUGAUAUUCCUCCUUGAGUUUUAUGAGAGAAUGGUGCUCUGAAUGAACUUUUGCAAGUGAGAACACAAUCAUCACCAUCAUCACAUAAUGUUUACUCAAUUCUAGUCUCCAGUUACAGGUCAGUGGUUAAUCUCUACGCAGCAACCAAUUGUGGAUUCAUAUAAAGACAGAAAAGACAUAUUUGACUCCUUAGAACCAGAAAUUGGCCUCUGCUCCCAUCAUCUAAGGUGUGUGUGGAGUGGGGUUGGGGGAGAGGGGAUUCCAGAAGCAUAUGGGAAGAAGAGAAAGCACUUAAGAAGCCCUGGAUGACUCUGAAUCACCUCUUCACUGAGGAAGUAGCUAAACAAGUCUUCUGGAGCCAGAAGCUUUCUCUCCAGUAGUGGGGAUAAGUCUACUGACUCUAAUUUGGUAAUUUGUUUGUUUGUUCUUUUUGACACAAGCAGUACAGAGCAAAAAAUCAUGGAAGGAAUGAAGGGAAUUAAAAAUGUUUUCCUAUGGUCCUUUGGAGACCACAGUUGUACCCAUUGGAGAAAUAAGGAAUAUUAAGUCAAUCUUGCCAUCUUCCUCCUUCCAGUGGAGUCCCCUCUUACUUGGAUUUAACCUGCAACCCCCCUACCCAAGUCCUCAUAGCAACAAACAGAUUGACAGAUCUACUCUCAUAUAUUAAAUUUGUAGAGACUUACUUUUAAAACAGAAGGGGCAAAGCAUUUGGGAAAGUGGAAUAUUUAAAAAUUUUCCCCUAAUCUCUCAUUUAUCACAAGGGAUUUCAUAAUUAUCUUAAAAACAAGGUGACUUUCAUCCUUGACAUCUGGAUUUAGCAUUCUUUCUUUCUUUAAUGUAGAUCAGUCACUCUCUAAUUUUGAUAUUUAUAAGAAAGAGAUAUUCUCAAGAAAAAUUUUGUCUGCAUAUGCUUUUUAGUUUUUCUGCUGACUUAAAACUCUCACCUUUGCUUAAACUGUAACUCCUCUAAUUGAGUUUUUCCAGGUCUCUAUAUUCCAGAGGCAGUUCAGCAGGAGAGCUAGUCCAUGUUAGUCUUCAGGAGGGGUUUUCUGGCUGAUAGCCCAUGUGAGGCCAGGCUCCUGGGUAUCCUCAGAGUAUGCUUUCCUUUGUUUAUUAUGUGUGCAUGACUAAUAUUCGAAGCUCAAGAGUAAGCCCAGAAUUCAGUUGGUACACCAUUCAUAAGAUCAAGAAAACAAUAUUAUCACAUCCACCACAUUCCUUACAAUCAGGUUAUUGAAAUGUCAAUUGCAUUUAGACUCUGUAAAGCAUAUCAGUUAGAUUACAUAUGCUUACAAUUGGGAUUCCCCGAUAUUACAUAAUUUCAAGUUAAAUGGAUAAUGUGAGUCUUUCCUUCCUAUUUUUAAACUUCAUCCAAAUCUAGACAUCUUGUUAAGUAAAUGUGUUCCCUUGUGGUUACUGCUGCAUUCUAACUCCCCCUUACUAGUUUGUCAGUCUAUUUUUAACUGUGGACAUUAUUUUAUCUGGCCCUUCUUUAAUGCUCCCAUCCACCACUUCACUUGGAGCUUUCUUUAACUUUCUGUUGCCCGUCAUUAUAAAGUAAUCUGCUCGCUGCCCAACAAUCUGUAACUAAAUAUGGUGACGCUUACUGUUAAGUGAAAUAGUUUCUUUUCUGCCUUUUUUUUUUUGAGACAGAAUCUUACUCUGUUGCCAAGGCCAUAGUACAAUGGCAUCAUAAUAGCCCACUGUAGCCUCAGACUUCUGGGCUCAGGCAAUAUUCCCACUUCAGACUCCUGAGUAGAUGGGACUACAAGUGCAUGCCCGUGUACCCAGCUAAUUUUUAUUUUUUGUAGAGAUGGGGAUCAUGUCUUAUUAUCCAAGUUGUUCUCAAAUUCCUGGCUCCAAGUGAUCCUCCUGCCUCAGCCUCCCAAAGUGUUGGAAUUACAGGGAAGCUAAUAUCAUGAAAUUGUGAAGGCCUGGGAUCUUCAAAGAGCCAAGGAUUCUGCCAGACUGAGCAAUAGACAUGAUGAGCAUUCUCCACUUAAGAUCUGAACUUUGAGAAGUAGAAUCAAAGCGAUUCUUUUGUAAUUCCAAACAGCCAUUUCGGCAUAUGAAGAAACAAAAGUAACAUAAAUCUAAAGACUAGGAAGAGGGUCAAUGAAAGGUGCUCCCAAUGGAAACAAAAAAAUCCUUAAAAGUGGAAGAAGGUGGUAGGAAAGGUUAGAGUGAUACCAGGAGAACUCAAUCGACCACUACUAGCUUUGAAGCUGGAAGAAUGCGGCUUUGAGUCCUGGAGUGUGGACGGCCUGCAGAAGGAAGCAGGGGUUCCACACUGGCACCUCUAGAAAAUAAUGGAGCCCAGCGAGAGUCAAGUUGGACUUCUGACCUACGAAAGAGUAAAUAUCUAAAUUAUCUGCGGCAACAACUUGGUGAGGUCAACUCGAAUACUUUUGUCGGCUGUUCCUGAAGAUUUCUGGGUCUCUACAACCACAUUCUUUGGCUGUUGCUGGUGUUUAAGCACUCCGAAACUGUAUAGCAGAAUGUUUGGAGGUGGCGUGUCAAAUUUGGAAAGCUGACAGUGUGACUGAGCUAGUCAUGGGGAUCUUCACAGAAAAGGCAGUCUGGGUCCUGGUCCACUGGAGAUUCCAACUGUAUGCCCAUAUAGAACCAACUGUGUUCCAUUUAUCAAGCAAGGCGGGCAUGUGAGACUUGGAACAGCAAGUAGACUCCAUGCUUCACUGCAGCUCCAAUCAUCUGGAAGCAAAUAUCUAGACAUUUUGUGAGAAUUGUUCCUCUAAGCUCAGCAAGAACAAGUGCCUCUAUUGAUUAGCAGUGUUUACCACAUACAUGGAAUUCCUGGCCAGAACUACAGCCAUAGAACUACAGCUGGUGUGAGAGAAAGACAACGAAAAGAUAAAAAUACACCUUGGUAGCUGCUGGAUCGAGGCAAAUGAGAGACAGAUGGAGCUCAUCUAGAUCCAACUCUACAGCUUGAAGCUAAGCCUAACUUAGCCAAGUCUAGACCAAUUUGACUCUGGCCAAUUCAUAGAUGUUUGAGCCAGAGGUAAUGUGCUUGUUGCUGGAAUCCAGUUAAACUUUGAAGUCUUUUUGAAAAAUAUGUUGUCAUUGCAGACAUAGCUGCACAUAAUUUUCCACACUGUGGGAGGUCAAGUUAAGCAUGCUUAGACUUUAGAGUAGAAUCCCCUUAUUAGUGUGGUGGCAAAAAUGUUACAAGUGGCAUAGCCCUCCAGUUUCCUUCUCCUAGCCCUCUGCCUAAGAACUAGAGUACUUAGUUUUGAAGUGGAGCCCUAAUGGGAGUGUUCAUCUCUCACCAGGGUUAAGCCUCUUGGCCCUUACUGAGCACUCAGAGUUAUUAGUUCCCUGGAAGAUAUGAAAGAGCUUCUCUGGCUCUGGAGUUCUCAGUCAAUAACCAACUGUAACAGACCUACCCUUCCAACAAAAUCUUGAUUCAGGAAAUUGACUGUCUGCUUAUAGUUAAUGCUCUAUUUUUUUAUAUCUAAUAGGAGAAACAUUUUCAAAAGAGCCAUGACCUGACUCAGUUAAUGUGCAAGGAAAAGCAAGCAGUUCCAGACUUGUCAGUUUAUCCAUUAUCCCUUAUCCAAAAUCUUCCAACUCUCUUGGAAUUAUUUUGUUCUUCAUAGUUACCCAACAAAUAUCUUACUCUUGUUUUGGACCUUCUUUUGUAGUUAUUUCACAUAAGCUCCUUUUGACUAAGGGCACAUAUUUGGAAUCAGACUACCCAAGUUCAACUCUUGAGUCUACCAUUUAUUAGCUUGUAUUAUUUUGGGCAAGAUAAUUAAAUUCUCCAGGUCUAAGUUCCCCCAUUAUAACAUAAUAAUAGUUAUUAUCUGCUAGGGUUGUCUUAAGAAUUAAAUGAGAUAAUUCAUAAGAACCCUUUAACACAGUGCCAGCCACCUAAUGAAGGCAUAGUAAGGGAAAAGUAUUAUGCUGUUGAUAAUACUUGUCUAGGCAGGGCUCUUGUAUUUUUCUCUGUAUCCCUUACUGUGCAAUUCUUCUGUCCCAUAACAUUCUAAGAUUGUUUUAGAGUGAGUUGCUUCAGAGUUGAAUAGUUAUAAUGGUAUAUUCUCAUGUUUAGAAAUAACUUCGAAUUCCAUUUAGGGUAGACAUUGACAAUGAAAUCUCUAUGAGUAAUUUCUGCAAUUUUUUAUUCGUUAUGGAGAGACAAAAUGGGUAUAAUGGUGAGAAUUGUUGGGUAGGAGGUCAGGAAAGAGAUCGAGUAUAAAUGCUCACUAUGCUGAGUAAUAAUGGUAAUGAAUAAUGGUAUGAUCUUAAGAAAUCUAAUAUUUAGUUUUUCCCACCUUAAAGACAAAGUUGUUAUAAGUAUUUAAUAAUGGAGGGUAGUAUAUAAACUUCCUGGCAUAUAGCAGCUGCUCAAUAAAUAGAAGUUACAGUUUUUUCUAAACUUGCUAAAGAGCCAAGGGAAAAAUAAAGAUUUUGCAGGCAAAGCCAUUUCUUUUUCUCUGUUAUGUGCCUAUCUGUUUCAGAAACAGAAUUAAUUCCCUAAACUUCAUCAAAGGAAGGAUUUGAACAUUAAAAAAAAAUCAAUCUCUUUGGGUUUGUUAUUGCUUGUUUCACAUACCUCAGAGGCAUUAAUACAAACCUUUAUAAUGUCAUCAGAAAGAAGAUAAGUCAAACACUACUUAACUCAAUAAUUGCAAGGUUAUUAUUUUGCAAGGAAUAGAGUUAAAAUUCCAUUGACAUGAGGACUGUAACUUUUUCAUUACUCCUUAAGGCAAAAUGUCCUUGAUGUCAGUAGCUCAUGUAGAAACCAGUUACAAGUCCUUAGCAGAGACACUGUACUGGAAAUACUGGAUCUACUAAAGGGUUUGAGCUUCCCCACCCACUUCCUUUAGAGUGACAAUUCACACCUAUAAAAACACAGAAGUACAGGGGUUUGUUAAACACUAAAAGACCCAAAGAGCCAAGACUUCUGCCUGUAAAAGUGGUGCUUCCUAAGGGGAAGACGUGGAAUUUCUCAGAGAAUACAGCCUUUCUUGACCAAGGGACUGUACAAUGAAGAUUAGGAGGUAACUACUGGGGUAAAAGAGGGAUGGUUGCAUCUUUCUGGAACACUCUAAUAAAACUGUAAGUUUUACUAACUUCUUCUUUCAUAUGAUAAAAGCAUCAAAUUGUAUACUUAAAGUCAUAAUAUCCUGCAUGUACUGCUCAGGAACACCUAUUUAGUCCCACUACAAAACUUGAAGAAAAGGUCUCCUCUCCUAAUGCUGUACCAGUCCUCUCCUCGUGGAUGACUUGGGAAAGAAAUUCCACAAGUAUAAGACGGUAAGAGGCCAAUUUCUUUAUUCCUCUCCUCUUCAUUUGUCCUCCCACCUCAAUUGCUUUGGGAGAAUAACACAGUCUGGAACAGAAAAAAAGGAGCCUUGUUGUACUUCAUUUGCCUGAAGAGGUCUCUUCUAUUAAAUAGAUCCAUUACGUUACUCUCAGAAAAUUAUAGUCAUAAUUAUUUCAAGUUUUAGCCCUGAAUAUAUAAGGGCUCUAUUGCUUGAUCUCUGUGCGCUUAUCUUGGUGUGGCAAAGCUCAGUAAGGCUAUCUUGAAAGUAGCCUGAAAUCAACUGGUCAGAUGCUACCGGCAGGAGGAGGCCACCAGGGGGAUCAAGGACAUGGGUGACACAGUGAGUGUAAUUAUUAGUCAAGAUAGGCUAGGUUAGGCGUUAGUGGCAAAUUAUCUCAGUGGCUUAGUACAAUAAAGGCUUAUUGCUUAUUCAUGUGGCAUGUCUACUGCAGGUCCACAAGCCCUCUGUUCUACUCACAGAUCCAGAUUUUAACAUUCUUUGCCAUCUCACAGCUAAUGAUCUAAACAUCAGCAGAAGGAAGGUGUCUUGGGUCAGGCUCACUAGAAAACAGGUCAAGAUAAAGAUUUCUGUGCAGAAAAGUUUUUAGAGAGGGAACUCUGAUUGACAUCUGCCAGGGAGAGAGCAAAAAUGACUGAGCAGACAACUGUUGAACUGUUAUUACUAGUAACAACAAAGGUCUCGGCCAACCCAACAGGGAGUGCUGGAGUUAAAAAUGGUUCUCCACAGGUGUCUCACCUUAAGGCAAGGGACUGGGCCUUUAUUAUCCCUUAUCAACCAGUCCUUUGAUUGGCUUGACCCCAGAGAGAGGUUAUAACCUUGAGUAAAGUGUGUCUGUCUACUGAGGAUAAUUCCAGGAGAGCAACUAAGCUGAGAGCUGUCACCAAUGGGAGGAAUCAGAGGCUCAGUCCUGAAGAGCAGGUCUGGGCAGCAUGAAAUAGCAUCCACUACAAGGGGGAAAGUGCAUGCACUUUUCACUGCCUCCUCUUGGGAGAGAGACAUGCCAUUUUCUGCUCUCAUUUCAAUGACCAAAAGGAGUCACAUGAUUCUAUCUAAUUAAAAGGAAUCUGGGAAGUGUGGGAAAGUAACUGGAAUAUUUGGGAAGGAUCAUUAUUUCUGCCACAAUGGAGAAGAGAUGUCCCUUUGGAGCUACUCAUUUCUGUUUCAGUGGCGUAAUGUCUUUUAGUCAUGGUCAUGAUACAGGUUCUAUUUUGCACUUGGCAUCCAAUGAGUCUGGUUUCUGCCUGCUUUUCCUGAAGACUGCUUAGCCUCCUUUCCUUCCAUCCACAAGAUCAGAUCCUUCUCCCAAGCUCUUGUCCUAGUCUUGUCUAGGCAUCAAGUCAAACUUCCUAGUGCUUUUUUUUCUCUGCUGGAGGUCCAGUUCAAACAAAACCAAAACCAAAAGUAAAACAGGCCGGUUCUCUAGUCCUGACUACACUUCUUAUACCAUAGUUUCUCCCACACUAAGGCUUUUCUCCAUCAGUCCUCUCUGUUAAGCAGAGUACUGAACUCUACAUUAUUCUAGUAGGUCCUGUUACAUGACAUUCACUUCUUUUCAAAUUGUCUACUCUUAUCCUUCACGUUAUCAUGAUCAAUAUCCUUAUCUGGACAACCGCCAGCUGCCUUUUGUUCGAUCUUCUAGACUGUUCUCUCUAACCACCCAGCUGGUUGAAUUUCUGGUACCUGAAAACCCUGAGGCACUGGGACUAAGCCAAGACCACUAAACUGAGAUAAAAAGAAAGAAAUACCUUCUCAACCUUAAAAUUCUUUGAAAGUACAUUUUCUGUGAUCAGCUAUAUUUUUUCUCUUUUAAUCAUUUGGUUCUUUCUUGCUGUCAGUGUACAUACACAUUACUUUUCAUCAUUAGGGAGUCAUCACAUUCUUCAUCUAGACAGUACUCUGUGUUUUAAAGACCUAGACCAAUUAUAAUUAAAGCAAGGUAUGGAUCACUGCAUACAUGGUAUUAGUCUUUGGACACUCAGUAGCUAUUGACCUACUUUAAUAAUUGACUGAGACUAUUGAUUCUUUAAAUAUAACUAUAUGUUUCUAUCUUAGUGGAACCAAUUACAGUUUAUAAGUCUAUUGAAGAAUAGCUGACUUCUCAAAAUUUGACUUAUUCUAUCUCAGGGACUCAGAAGAUAACUAAUGACAGCUAAAUGACUUCUGACCCAUGUCUGACUGAGGCUGGGCUGCUACCUGAGUCCAGCUCCAACAUUCUGUGACAAUUUGCAGUGAAAUAGUACCUAGAGGAGGAGAGAGAGCUUGAGAAAAGCAGAAAAUAAUGAUGAACCAAGCCAUUGUUGUGAAUUGGCAAUUACUGCCUAUUUAAUCCAGACUUCACAGACACAUAUUUUUAUUAUUAGGUGACAAUUUUUGAAAUUGGAAGAUUUUACUUAAAAAUUUGUAUUCCAAGUGUGAACUGAAAAGGCAGACCUGACAAGGCCAAGUCCUCCUUCCUUGUGGCAGUAAUUCAUGGGGGCCAAAUAGUGGAGGGUCCCCUUCAAAAGGACAAGAGGAUGCUCAUUCUCCAGAUCACCAAAGCCCCGCUAUUUCCCUUUGUUAGAGACGGAAUUGCAUUCCUCCAAAAUUCAUAUGUUGAAGUCCUAACCCCAACAUAACUGUAUUUGGAAAUGGAGAUUUUAAAGAGGCAAUUAAGGUUAGAUGAGGCCAUUAGGGUAGGGGCAUAAUACAAUCUGACUAAUGCCCUCACAAAAAAAGGAGGAAGAGACAGUAAGGGUGCUCGCACACAGAGAAAGUCAUGGGAGAACAUAGUGAGAAGACAGCCAGCUGCAAGCCAAGGAGAGGGGCUGCAGGAAAAACCAAACCUGCCCACACUUUGAUCUUGGGCUUCUGACUUCCAGAACUGUCAUAUUUCUAUUGAAGCUCCCCAGUCUGUGGUAUUUUGUCAUGGCAGCCUUGGCAGACUAAUACAUCCACUGUGUCCUCAACAUCUAUCACCAUGCCUGUGCUUUAGGGUUUUUCUCCUAUUCCCUGAUCCUUUCACUCAUUACCUUCCUGAGUGAGUACAGAAUGAAUUUGAGUUUGUCACCCAUGAUAUCACUUUCACCAACAAUAAGCUGCAGAUGACUGCAGUUUAAAAAAAAUGACUUUGAAGGAGUAUAUUAAGGUAGAUAAAAUGAAACCAGAUUAAAUAUUAAGGUGGAAACAGUUUCUACUAAGGUAGAUAUUUUUUACACUAAAGAGAACACCAUGAACAAAAUUUUAGCAGUAAAUUAGUCCAGUCACUGUGGGGAACAGUUUGUAGAUUUCUCAAAGUACUAAGUAUUGAACUACCAUUUGACCCAGCAAUCCCAUUACUGGGUAUAAACCCAAAGGAAAAGAAAUUAUCCUAGCAAGAGGAUGCGUGUACCCCUGUGUUCACUGCAACACUAUUCACAACAGCAAAACUAUGGAAUCAACCCAGGUGCCCAACAAUGGUGGAUUAGAUGUAAAAAAUGUAAUGCAUCUAUACCAUGGCGUACUAUGCAGCCAUAAAAAAGAAUGAAAUCAUAGUCUUUGCAGCAACAUGGAUGCAGCCGGAGGCCAUUAUCCUAAGCAAAUAAAUGCAGAAACAGAAAAAUAAAUCCCAUAUGUUCUCACGAUUGGGAGCUAAACACUGGGUACACAUGGACAUAAAGACAAGGACAAUAGACACUGGGGCCUCCUAGAGGAGGGAGAGAAGGAGGGGCAAGGGCUGCUCACUACAUGGAUGACAGGAUUAGUCAUACUCCAAACCACACCAUUACAUGUUAUACCUUUGUAACAAACCUACACAUAUACCCCCAGUCUAAAAAAUAAUUGAAAAAUAAAAGUUAUGUACCAAAUGUUACCAAGAGUUAUUUCAAGAAAGUGUAAAUCUACAUUGUUUUAAUAUUCAGUUUUGCUUCUAUAUGUUCUACUUUUUUCUAUAAUGACCAUGCAUUAUUUGUAAAAUAGGAGUAAAAAUUAACCUUAAAAAAACAGAUUUAAAAAAAAAAAUUGUACCAAAUGUCGGGUUAAGAAGAAUACAGUGGUUAAGAUCACUGAUUGUGAAGCAAAAAGAAAAGAACAUUCUGAGUUCGCUCCUUGUCUGUGCUCCAGUUUCUUACUCUAAAAUGAAGACAGUGAUGUAAGGAUGCAUACAACAGACACCAAGUGCAGAGUGCAGGGCCUGGAACAAACACAACCAAAGUAAUGAGACAUAUUUGUUCCGCUGGGAUUCUAGGAUACUUUUCGCUACACAUAACAAAAAUCUCAAUUCAAGUUAUCCUAAACAAUAAAUAAUUGACUCAAUUUAACAACUGGGAAUGCAAAAUUAUGGUGUGUUUUGCAGUUGACUUGCCCUGGUAGCCCCAGUUGUCUGUUUUACUGUAGCUGUUUUAGAUCUGUUUCUUACUGUAGAGCCACUCCAUCCUCAGGCGGGUAGCUAAAUGGCUGUUGCAGUGCUGGGCUUCACAAUGUGGAAACACAUAUAUUUUCCUAUACCUGCAUCGUUUUCCAGAAGUACCCACCAACUUAUCUUUAUACCCCAUUGAGUCAAAUGUCCAUGCCAUUUCCUUGUUGUUAGGGAAAUGUCAUGAUCUGACUGGCUUAGCCAUGUGUUCCUAAACCCAUCAUUAUAAAGGAGAAUAGUACAAUGAAGAUUAAAAUAAUCAAAUGUCACUUCUAGAGUUCUGAUUGGUUAGGUUACCCUGAGACACAUGGGCUACUUGGUGGAAGUGUGAGAUAUGUGAACAAAAUAAAGAUCCUUUUACGGCAUAUGAGAAAAGCUGUGUAGACAACCAACAGUGACUACUAUAUGAAUAUUUUCAUUAGUAAAAGAAAGAGAAUUCAGCCUGGGUGCAGUGGCUCAUGCCUGUAAUACCUGCACUUUGGUAGGCUGAGGCGGGCAGAUCACCUGAGGUCAGGAGUUUGAGACCAGCCUGGCCAACAUGAUGAAACUCCAUCUCUACUAAAAAUACAAAAAUUAGCCAGGCAUGGUGGCACGUGCCUGUAACCCCAGCUACUCAGGAGACUGAGGCAGGAGAAUAACUUGAACCCAGGAGGUGAAUGUUGUAGUGAGCUGAGAUCAUACCACUGCACUCCAGCCUGGGAGACAGAGCCAGACCCUUUAUCAAAAAAAAAAGAAAGGAAGGAAGGAAUUGUCUUACUUAAACUUUUUGAUGUGCUAAGUGACAUAACAUAAUAUAAAUAUAUUAGCUAAUUUAAUCUUCACCACAGUCCUAUGAAAUGAAUGUUAUGAUGCCCAUUUUGCAGAUGAGGAACUGAGUGUCAGAGAAGAAUCUCUUGGUUUUAAAAUGUAUAAAGUAGCCACAUGCAUGGACUCAGCAACAUAGAGGAAAAUAAGAAAAAAAAAAUCUAGAAAAUAGUCAAAAGUCAGAAUCACGUCUCUGUGACUUCAUUCCUUUUAUGUCAAAUGAGAACAGCAAUAGCACCUAUCUCACAGGGUGUCACAAAAACUAAAUGAGUUGAUACAUGUGGCAUGCUUGGAAGAGUGUCUGGCCCUUAGGAAGCAAGCAGUAGGCACUAGCAAUUUCAUUACUUCAUUUCACGGAAUCUACCUAUCCAUUAAUGGGAAGAAAUUUCAUUAUUUGGGAACCACUAAGAAAGAAAGAAAAAAAAAUGCUGCCAAUUAAACUAUAACCUAAGACUGUCUUAUCACUUAGAAUUUUUAUACUAUAUUUAUUGGAAGAACGGUUUUGGCUUCAUUAAUCAUGGAUUUUUAUCAUAAAUUACUUUUGUGCAUACAUAAAAAGAAAAAGUAAGAGAAAUAAAUUGGUUAAGGUACUCCUGAAAUUUCUCUAAAAUUCAGUCUGAAUCUUCAUCCCUUUUUUUUGUUUUUUGAGACGGAGUUUCGCUCUUGUUACCCAGGCUGGAGUGCAAUGGAGCGAUCUCGGCUCACCACAACCUCCGCCUCCUGGGUUCAGGCAAUUCUCCCACCUCAGCCUCCUGAGUAGCUGGGAUUACAGGCACGCACCACCGUGCCCAGCUAAUUUUUUGUAUUUUUAGUAGAGACGGGGUUUCACCAUGUUGACCAGGAUGGUCUCAAUCUCUUGACCUCGUGAUCCACCCGCCUCGGCCUCCCAAAGUGCUGGGAUUACAGGCGUGAGCCACCGCACCCGGCCUCUUCAUCACUUUUUCACUGAGUCCCUAAUAUCCAGCUUCUACACAAAAACAAUCUCCGUGCCAUGAAAAGUGCUAAUGAUUUUGAUAAUAUUUUAUAAAAUUCAUCAUAUCAAAAACCAACUUUACUUUGGGUCUUCUUAACAUCGUUCUGCAAUUAUGUAUAGUUAGUCUUCUUUGACUCACUCUAAAAAGAGUGCCAACAAUCUGAACAACUGGUUUCUCGUGGUUAAAAAGCAUAAUCCACUUCUGUCUCUAGGAUUUUCUUCCAAGCUGUUGACAUCCAUUCAACAAGUUUUGAUGCUGACAUCUUGAAUGCAUGUACCGGUCAUGCCAAUCACUUCACAACUGCUGCCUCUUUGAGAGUUAAUAUAAAAUGCCAUCAAUUAAAAGAUGCAUCCCAGUUUCAGAGAUUUGAAGAUAUGAGAGUUGUGCACCUUACAGAUGAUGAAAUAAAGUAGUCAUACUCUUCAUAUGAGUUGUUCUCUUACUCUUAUAGGUUUGUCUCCAAAGACCAUGGCCUUAGAGUAAAACCAACAGCCGAUGCCAGUAGCACAGAGUAUUGAUCAAAUAGACGAGAACUGAAUACAAAUUGAGAUACACUUCACUCUUACUGAGAAAUUUACAAAGUUAAAGGAAAGAGACAUCAAAAAGUUCCAUUGGAAAAGCACCUUGUUUUAUCGAUUAGAGAAAAUAAACACAGAGGUGCCUAUGCAAGCAGCCAUAAGAUAUUUUUUUCUUCUUUUUAGAAUGAAUCAGAAGCUUGCAGUGCAAAAACAUUGAAAUUUCCACGACCUUCCCUUUCCCACUAUAAGCAAGAGCCCUGAUGUUGGUAUUUUUAACAAGCUCCUCCAGGGAUUCUGAGGCAUAACCUUUAUAGGGUGAAUAGACUGCCAGUAGAGUCUAUAUUCAGUUAGCAGAGUUCAGACAGGAGGAACCUGGGGGGAUAUCACAGGAUGCAUGAGUGUAAACAGGUGGUCUAUCAAAUGCUACAUUUGCCAGUAACUUUGCAGAAUUCAAAAACAUCUCAGUAGGUCUUCAAAAGUUUUAUAAUUACCUAUGUCAGCCAAGAAGAUUUAAAGAACUAGAACAUACCCUACCAAGAGUUGUCAUAAGAGAUCUUGUCUUCUUUUAAUCCUGAAAUAGCUCUUCUAAAGACAUUUUCCAAACGUCAAGACACCUUUGUUAAUUGCUGCUACACUUUAUUAAUUUAGUUCAUCAAUCAGUUAAUCAGUCAACAAAUAUAAUUAAUUCCUUCUCUUUGCCAGGCACUUUAAUAAGUGCUGCCAAAAAAAAAAAAAAAUGACUAUUUGACCCUUCUCUUCCAAGAAAUCAGAGUCCAGUGGAGGCAGAUAAAUAAGGUAAUGAUUUAAAAAAGAGUGUGACAUGUAGUUUAGUUUAAAGAAACAGAAGAAAGAGUAGCUGGACCCCAACUUAAAAACCGGAAUAGGUGUGUCUUGGAGAAAAUAAUACUUCCUGUAGUUAAUAACAGCCACGUUCUUCCUGGAAGUUCCCCGUCCACUUUUUCUCCCUCUUUCUUUAGGUAAUCAGAGUACAAGACAAGGGGGUAUGAUGUCUGUGGCAGAGACCUCUGUCAUUUUCUUCAUUCAUCUUGAUGAGUAACUAUUAUUCAAAAUUCACUGCAGUUUAAAUUUCUGAAGCCAAGGAAAGUCAGAAGGAACCAAUAUCUGGUUACCUUUGGUUAUCUUGCCUUCCCAAAGGGAAAAACUCUAGCUCUUCAAUUUCAGUAAAUAUAGAAAGAAAAAUAGACUUCUCCUCUUGAGACAUUUAUUUAACCAAAAAUAUUUGGAAGAUGGUGUUACCUUGCUGCUUUGAGAGGAAAUGCUUGGAAUAAAUUUUAUUGUCGUAUCUGGCAUGAUAUAAUAAAAUUGAACAGCAGCUAGAAAGCUAAGGAACUCUAGUUGAAGGGGGUACAGAAAAUUUUUCUACGAUUUUAUAACUUUUUAAAGCCUGAAAUUAUUUCAGAAUUAAAUUUUUUUUAAUGCCAAAGAAAGAGAUAAAAGAAGAUAGAGGAAGAAGGAAGCAGGAUUUCACCAGGGUAGGAAGAGCAAAAGAAAGUAAUGGAAGAGGAAAUGUUAGGUAAAGGUACAGGGAGACACAAACCCAUAUGGUAUAUCUGAGUAACUACAAGUAGUCCAAAAGGCUGGAAUAUGAGAUAUCUGAGUCAGAGGGGACAGGAAAGAGACUAGACAAAUGUGGAACAAAGGAGGCCAUAUCAUAAAGGAACUUGUACACCAUAUCAAGGUUUUUUGCUUGCAUGUUAUAGGGUUUCCAGCCCCACUGAAGGGUUUGGAACAUGAAAGUGACUUGAUUACAUUUGCAUUUUACAAAGGUCAUAGGUGUCAAUAUGAAGAAUGGACUAGAGAAAGGUGAAGCCAAAGAUGAGAAAACCAAUAAAAAGGCAAUUUAAACAGUCCAAUAAAAGACUAUAUAGAAAGAGAAAAUCAUAAACCCACCCAAACUUUGAUUUGAACUUGAUUAAAAUUGCAGUUGAAGCCACAAAGCACGUAACAGAAUGACAUUUUAUGAGAACUCUCAACAGGAGGUAAAGUUGUUGGGAUGAGAGUCUUUGAGACUGCAAAGCAUGAGGCUGGAUAUCUAUGCUCCAUUAUAAGAAUAUGGACGAAGCUAAGAAAUAUUUGCAAGCUCAUUUCCAAAACAGAAUGAUGAACAAAGAAUUAGUCAGGCAUAUUGACAAGUUAAACCUAUAGUACUUCAUAUAUUAUUGUUAUAAACUUGAGACACUUCCCAGUUAGCUGAA